AUGCAUGUCUAAGUAUAAGCAAUUAUACAGCGAAACUGCGAAUGGCUCAUUAAAUCAGUUAUCGUUUAUUUGAUAGUACCUUACUACAUGGAUAACCGUGGUAAUUCUAGAGCUAAUACAUGCUGAAAACCCCGACUUCGGAAGGGGUGUAUUUAUUAGAUUAAAAACCAAUGCCCUUCGGGGCUCACUGGUGAUUCAUGAUAACUUCUCGAAUCGCACGGCCUUGCGCCGGCGAUGGUUCAUUCAAAUUUCUGCCCUAUCAACUUUCGACGGCUGGGUCUUGGCCAGCCGUGGUGACAACGGGUAACGGAGGGUUAGGGCUCGACCCCGGAGAAAACGCCUGAGAAACGGCGUUUACAUCCAAGGAAGGCAGCAGGCGCGCAAAUUACCCAAUGCCGACACGGCGAGGUAGUGACGAGAAAUACUGAUACAGGGCUCUUUUGGGUCUUGUAAUUGGAAUGAGUACAAUUUAAAUCUCUUAACGAGGAACAAUUGGAGGGCAAGUCUGGUGCCAGCAGCCGCGGUAAUUCCAGCUCCAAUAGCGUAUAU
rnacentral:rRNA from 1 species